rnacentral:rRNA from 1 species
GACGAACCGUGCGAACGUUGUUCGGAAUCACUGGGCUUAAAGGGCGCGUAGGCGGGUUACCAAGUCUGUGGUGAAAUCCUCCAGCUUAACUGGAGAACUGCCGCGGAUACUGGUGAUCUCGAGGGAGGUAGGGGUAUGCGGAACUGUGCGUGGAGCGGUGAAAUGCGUUGAUAUGCACAGGAACUCCGGUGGCGAAGGCGGCAUACUGGACCUCUUCUGACGCUGAGGCGCGAAAGCUAGGGUAGCGAACGGG